UUGAACAAAAGGAGAAACUCGGAUGAACUCUCCAUCUCUCUCUUCUCCUGGGUUAUCUAAUCUUCGGGAACUUUAUCCAGAGAGCAUUACCCAACUUCCUUCAAGCUCUCUCAGUACUUACAAAACAAACGGCCCCAUCGUGGCCUCAUAAGGAAUUCCCUCGAUUUCGUUUUCAGACUUUAAAGAAGAGAGAAGGUAAAGUGUGAUUGUCAGAGAAGCAUGAUGGCUGCCAAAACACCUUAUAGCAAUAGUUGCCAUAUUGCAUUUGCUCUUCAAAUGGUGGAAUACAGCUGUGGAUACUUUAGUGGGGAUUAACAGAGUACAAACACUGAAUGACUAAAGACAUCAAACAUCAUCAUUUGGAUUUAUAUAUCUAUUAAUAAACUGAUAAAACUGGUGGUAGUGGCUCUUGAAGAAAUCAGAAAAUAUGGAAGGUGCUGUUGAAAAUGGUCUGGUGAUCGCUUUGUGACAAUGAUCUUCUACAAUUAAAAUAAGGGAAUUGGCCAUAUCUCUUUCUUUCGCCUGGUUGCUGAAGCAUUGUCACAGGACAGCAAGGAUUGAUGAAUAUUCUUCAGGUAUGAGUCAUGUCAGUACAGUGAAAGAGGAGGAUUUAUGUUUCUGAAGUGGAAUUGUGUAUGUGAUCAAAGGAUUUACAUGCAGCUCUCUGUGCUGUAGUUCCUUCCUGCUCCAGGAGGGACACCUGGGGUGAUGUCUUCGAACGUGGUAAAGGGCCUCUAUCCGCAAGCUGGCAUUAAGAUACCAUCAUUGGUCUCUGCAGCACCAGCUUUAGAUACCACUGUGAUGGGCAACCUUGAAAUACCAAGAGCGGCAAGCAGCAUACCACAUCUUCAUUUUUAGCUCUUUUCCAUACUCUGCUCUGUUGGGAAGACUGUGGCAAGGUGGCUCUGAUAUCAUCUAGAGACCUCCAGAUUUCCUUGGUUUCUCUCAUUCUUGCUUUCAGCCUGGGUCUUGCAUGAGACUGCACUGGUUUUCUUGGUGGUUGAGCUCGUCCUGUGAAAGAAAGAUCAGGUUUCCCUGGAUAGGAACGAGGCCCAGAAUUCAAGCCAGUCUUCCUAAGUGAGGGACCCGCUCAAAACUGCUCACUGAUGGACAGUAGGUCUUGCCUGUCACUCUUGCUGUUAUGGCAGGAGGUACUGCAAUGGUGACCAAGCUAUGUCCAGGUUAUGCCUUUCUUCAGAUACUAAGGACUGCAGGCUUCGAGCUGCGCUGUUUGGAAGAAGCAACGUCGUCGUCUCACAGCUACGACGCGGCACUGCUCUCAGCAUAUCCUGCUUUUUCCCCCCAUUUACCUGGGCGGCUUCUGCUGUCUCUGUUGCUGCUGCUGGGGCUGCUGCAGUUUCGCUGCCUGUGCUUCACCCUGGCAUGUCUGAGUCGGGAAUCACUCGUCUGCACGCUGCUAAGGAAGAGCAGCGAUGGAACUCUGGCCACAUUUUUUUUUUCUGUUGGUGCUGGAAGAGAAGGGUUGUGAUGUGGGGUGAGGGUUUUUUUUGGAAGGGUGGGGACGUUAAUCCAAAGUGAGGUGGGAGAAAGUUUAAAGAAAUAUUACGCAAAAUAAUCCAGCACACGACAAGGGCAUCAGCAGCAAGAAUCCAGCCUCUGCUGCUCGAAAGGAUUAACAUGGGAAAAGCCACAGUGAUGCAGUAGUGUUUCACCUCAGCAUUGUGCUGGAGAUGGAUAAAUAAGGUAUCUGAUAUGUCCGCCUGUAAAGGCAAAGCUAUGGGAGGAAGAGAGCGAGAGAGCAAAUGAAAAGGAAGAAGAAACACUGUAUUCUGUUUGUCUGAUUCUGUGCAUUCUUAUUCUAGAGAUGGUUGCAUAAUUUACCAAACAAUGUAUGGACGGAGGGACUGUAAAUUGUAGUCUGAACACUCCCGACGCUGUCUGGGAGGGAACUGAUGGGCUAGGUGACUGCACUGACAUCCCCAGGGAAAACAGCCGUCAUGCAGUAUAUAUUUAUAUAUGUAUGUGUAUCUCUUGUGUGUCCAUGUGCAGACAUGAAAAAAGGCAUUUCUACCAAUUUACACAGGAAGUUUGUCACUCUGCUAGAUCAGACUUGAUUGCAGCUUAUAUUUUCAGCUACAGCUCUACACCCAUUUCCUGAAUCAGAAGGUGUUUUGUGAAAACAGACGUAUGCAGAAUUCUUUUAAGAAAUGUGAAAGCAGCUCCUUUUGAUUUAACACCUUGAAGCACUGAAUCUUCGGUACUGUGCCGAGAGGAGCUGUGUGGGUUUUGUUUUUUUCAUCUUAAAAUCUUUAUAAACACAGCUGUAUUCAGUAUGGUGAAAAAUUCUAUACUGUAAAUAGAAAUGCGAUCAAUCUAACCAAAAUAAAUGUAUCCCAGAUGACUGCUAGACCAGCUGGCUACCACAGUCUUCAGAUGGCUAAAUGCUCAACUGAGAUGGAUUCAGCAUUAUAUUUACUACUACUUUUUUUUAUUUCAAAAUCAGCCUAUAAUUAAAAAAAGAUUCUUGGUCCGGUUAAAAGAGGCAAUGCUCACGACUGGCAGUGCAUCAUUCUGAAAUGGACACUGAUAUUUUUCAUUUCUGGACAUGCCUUUGGAAGAUUGUGUUUUUAGAACAGAUGGACUUGUCAUAAUACAGACAUAGUUAGUAUGGUGAAAACUAGUAGACGGCUCAGGUUGGCCAUAUCCAUGUAAUGUGCAAAAUGAAGUUAAGGGAAACAAAUGCUGCACUCAACUAGUGGGGACUUGGUAUGAUUUUUAGCAACCCCCUACAGUGAGAGUUUUGGGUUUUUUUAAACACAAAUCCAAAACCCAUAAAGUCAUCUUAAAAUUUGUAUGAGGGGAUUUCCCAAUAGUCAUGGUGAGCUAUCCUGCAAGACGCCUGUCUGGGCCUUCCACUAUUUGUUACCAGGUCUACAAAGGCAGCCCUGUAUGUUGGAUUAUAUUUAGCCAGCUGUUGGAUAACAUUCCUGUGUUGUGGGCGGAGGAGUCUUAUUACUUCCAAACUGUAGUUAUCUGUUUAAAGGAAAAAUAGUUUUGGAAAAUACAUUGAGCUCAGCUGAGGAGUUGCACCUCUCCUGUACCUUUCUCAAAUGCUCUGUUCCCAACCCAGCCACUUUAAAACAAAACUGGGAGGAGGAAGAGAGACUUAACUCAUAGCUUCAAAGCUGCAGAGACAAGCAAAAUGUCAGCAGCUUGUAAUUAGCUGCUCAUGGUUAUGUCAGUGACUGUAUCUCUCCAAGAAUAACUGUGAUGCGUGCCACAAAGUAAGGAAGAUAGUCAUAACCUAGUUAUCAAGCCUGGUUCAAACAAGAGCAAAUGGAUUAAUGAAUCUGCUGUGUUCAUAAAUCAAAUAUGGAUGGAUUACAUAUAUAAGAUUUACUGAAUUCUGCAUAAUUGAAGGGUGAAUUAGGAACUUGUCAGAGGGCACGUUCGCUAAGUAAAAGUGUGAAUCCUUUUAAAAAUGCAGAUGAACUAUCCCUGAAAAUGUCUUUAAGGGCUCCAUCUAGUACAAGCAGCUGUGAGACACUGAAGCAUGCUACAAAGGAAAAAACCAAGAGACGCACGGAGGUGCUUAAAAGAAAGGGAGUAAUAAAACAAAGAAAGCAUGCUGAAAUUCUGUUUUGGCAUUACAGAUUUGAUACUAAAAUACCACCCCAGAGAAGACAUAUUGUGGUCUGAUGUGGUUUAAAUUGACUCCUCUGUUUGAGUGCAAAAAAAGAAAAAAGAUUUUGUGAGGCUCAGUGCAACAUCUUGGAGCCAAGCAGAGAGCAGAGUACCAGAAAUGCUUGCUUUUAAAGGGACAAGAUCAAUCCAUACUAGGAUCUUUCUAUACUCUGCAAUUAUUUUAGGUCUAUGCUGGCAAUUCAGCAACAUUUAAACAGUGAGAUUGUGGGGGGUACUUAAUCUGCUCUGAUUGGUCUUUUUCCACAUUGUUGCUGUAAAAUGUUUACAUGGCUUUUAUCCAUACACCUUACAACAUUCAGUUUGCAUUUCUGUUUGUGUUCAUGCUGCACAAUUGCUACAAGCCUGGUUUGUUUCCAUAUUCCCAGCAGAAGUCAGUUUCAGUUCAGCUAUGUUUAUUUAGCUCCUUAAUACACCAAGAUAGAUAGAUUGUAUUUUGCAAACACAGAUUUUUUUUUUUUACUGUGAACACAAAUUUGUAGGAGGAGAUGACUGUAUAUUAAACCAAUAGCUCUUUGAAAUGCAUGUAAUAUAAUUUAAAUAUACUUAAUUUAAUUAAUAGAAGGUUACAAAAGCUG